AUAAAAAAAAUCGAACCCUAAAAAACUAGCAUAACAAUCAAUAAAGCCAUUAAUGUGGCAACCAUUGGCAUCUAAAAUUCUAAAUACGGGAUGACAUUUAGUUUGACCUAGUUGAAUACUUCUACUGAGAAUAUCUAGACAGCUUUCAACAGUUUGCGUCAAGCACCUGCAUUUCCAAAAUUAACAGUAAGGAAUGCAAGACUUGCAGGUAAAGAAUCUCAUUCACUUGGACGAGAACGAGAUUUUCUUUGAUACGAAUUGACAUCUGCCGACCUUGUAGAGUAUUUCUGAAGAAAUGUUAAGUGUUGAUUUUUUAGAUUAAUC
rnacentral:lncRNA from 1 species